GAUGAACGCUGGCGGCGUGCCUAAUACAUGCAAGUCGAGCGAACAGAUGAGGAGCUUGCUCCUCUGACGUUAGCGGCGGACGGGUGAGUAACACGUGGAUAACCUACCUAUAAGACUGGGAUAACUACGGGAAACCGGAGCUAAUACCGGAUAAUAUAUUGAACCGCAUGGUUCAAUAGUGAAAGACGGUUUUGCUGUCGCUUAUAGAUGGAUCCGCGCCGCAUUAGCUAGUUGGUAAGGUAACGGCUUACCAAGGCAACGAUGCGUAGCCGACCUGAGAGGGUGAUCGGCCACACUGGAACUGAGACACGGUCCAGACUCCUACGGGAGGCAGCAGUAGGGAAUCUUCCGCAAUGGGCGAAAGCCUGACGGAGCAACGCCGCGUGAGUGAUGAAGGUCUUCGGAUCGUAAAACUCUGUUAUUAGGGAAGAACAAAUGUGUAAGUAACUAUGCACGUCUUGACGGUACCUAAUCAGAAAGCCACGGCUAACUACGUG
rnacentral:rRNA from 1 species